rnacentral:rRNA from 1 species
UGGGGAAUCUUGCGCAAUGGGGGAAACCCUGACGCAGCGACGCCGCGUGCGGGAUGAAGGCCUUCGGGUUGUAAACCGCUUUCAGCAGGGACGAGGCCUUAUGGUGACGGUACCUGCAGAAGAAGCUUCGGCUAAAUACGUGCCAGCAGCCGCGGUAAUACGUAUGGAGCAAGCGUUAUCCGGAUUCAUUGGGCGUAAAGCGCUCGUAGCCGGUCUGUUAGGUCGGCAAGUUAAAUCCGGGGGCUCAACCCCCGUCCGCUUCCGAUACCGGCAGACUUGAGUUUGGUAGGGGAAGGUGGAAUUCCUAGUGUAGCGGUGGAAUGCGCAGAUAUUAGGAAGAACACCGGUGGCGAAGGCGGCCUUCUGGGCCAUAACUGACGCUGAGGAGCGAAAGCUAGGGGAGCGAACAGG